UACAGAGGUCUCAAGCGUUGUUCGGAUUCAUUGGGCGUAAAGGGUGCGUAGGCGGCGCGGUAAGUCGGGUGUGAAAUCUCGGAGCUUAACUCCGAAACUGCAUUCGAUACUGCCGUGCUUGAGGACUGGAGAGGAGACUGGAAUUUACGGUGUAGCGGUGAAAUGCGUAGAUAUUGUAAGGAAGACCAGUGGCGAAGGCGGGUCUCUAGUACGGUACUGACGCUGAGACGCGAAAGCGUGGGGAGCGAACAGG
rnacentral:rRNA from 1 species